UCCUGCAGUUCUCGCCUGAUUUCCCACUGGAGCUAAGCAGGGUUGAGCCUGGCCAGUACCUGGAUGGGAGACCUCCUGGGGAAAUCUUAGAUUGCUGCUAGAA
rnacentral:rRNA from 1 species